UACACAGACACCCUUGUGUUUACAAGUUAAAAGCGCAUGCGUCGCCUUUGCUGUAAGUCAGCCUCAACGUGGUGUGGAGAGGUGUGACUCACCAUACCCGUCAAGUAUCCCGUUUUGGCGGGGAAAGUCCCGUAUUUUACCCUUCUUUCCCGCCGUCCUCCCGUAUUAGUAUUUUCCCUUAAAUCUCCCAUAUUUUAUCCUCCGUAAUUUCGCACGCAAAGGUUGUGAUCUAUAAAAAGAUCCUAAAGAUCGCUAAAGAUCCACUGAUUCCGCUAAUCCACUUCGUGUUUUCCCGCCCGCCCCGCAGCAUCUCUGUGUGCACUCUCUGCCUGGACGACAGUUUCUGAAGUUCGUUGCAUUAACAGGCAAAAAAUACAAAAAACACAAAUGCCUUCACAAAAUAAAGACAGAGAACGGAAAGGGAGGCUGCUUCUAAAGGCAGUUCAACAUUGCAAACAUGGAUUCAAAGAUCCAUCAAGCCAGCAGGUCGUCUGUUGACUGCUGAAUAUAAAACCCCUUCAAUAUAGAAGUCCAGU